rnacentral:lncRNA from 1 species
ACAUCAAACAAAAAAGGAACUGUAAGGCAACAACGUUUGUAGCUUCGCUCUAACCUCUGAUUCUGGAAAUGGGUGGAGCCGUGGAGGUCUGGUCGUGGAUCGGUGGAGGAUCGGAGGUGGAUUGCUGCCGGAGGUGAACUCAAAUUGAGAAAAAUGGGAGGAGGGCACAGGCUUAGGGUUAGGUUAGGGAGAAAUGUCGAAAAGGGGAAAUGGGAAAAGGGGGAAAU